GUGGGGAAUAUUGGACAAUGGGGGGAACCCUGAUCCAGCCAUGCCGCGUGUGUGAAGAAGGCCUUUUGGUUGUAAAGCACUUUAAGCGAGGAGGAGGCUACCGAGAUUAAUACUCUUGGAUAGUGGACGUUACUCGCAGAAUAAGCACCGGCUAACUCUGUGCCAGCAGCCGCGGUAAUACAGAGGGUGCAAGCGUUAAUCGGAUUUACUGGGCGUAAAACGCGCGUAGAUGGCCAAUUAAGUCAAACGUGAAAUCCCCGAGCUUAACUUGGGGAUUGCAUUCGAUACUGGUUGGCUAGAGUAUGGGAGAGGAUGGUAGAAUUCCAGGUGUAGCGGUGAAAUGCGUAGAGAUCUGGAGGAAUACCGAUGGCGAAGGCAGCCAUCUGGCCUAAUACUGACACUGAGGUGCGAAAGCAUGGGGAGCAAACAGGAUUAGAUACCCCGGUAGUCC
rnacentral:rRNA from 1 species